AACUCAAAAGGUCCACUUUACUACUUGUUACGAUCCGUCCACUUGUGGGAUAAAAUCGACAACAAGGUUCGUGCGUAUUCUUGGACACUCAUGUUUAUAAACAAGCCAGCCACUGUUGAAAAUAGAUCAUGUAUUUAAUUUGGAGAAAAUAAUUAAAUUGAGAUAGCUGGCCGAUAUAUGAAAUUUAUGUGAGGGGUCAAUACUUCAGAACGGCAUACUUCAAGUAAGCAUUUAUAAGUUUUUGAUUGGACCGAGGACUUCUUUUAUUUUGUAUUACAAUUAUCUUAUGGUUAUUAUUUAUUUUAGUUAUUCCAAAUUUAUAUCUGUUAAAAACUAGUCAGCAAAAUAAAAUAUUUAGAGGCAGUUAUAUCCAGUAAAACAAAAUCAUUGAGAGAUUUUGUCCAAAUAAAUCACAAUAGUUAACAAUGAACAAUUUAAGUUUAAAAUGUCGUACUGUCAUGAAUGAAAUCACUAUCGAUUGAUAAUUUUUUUUUUUUUUUUUUUUUUAAUCAUUAUUCUAAAAAGGUAAUUGCGACUAAUUUUUCUACAAUUACAACACCAGAGGUUGUUGAGGCAUCCAUUGAGCUGCCAAGCACGCCUAGCCAAGUUGAAGUCAAAGUUGAAAUUCCAAUUUCCAAUGUCAAUGCCCAACAGGGGCUCAUAAUUAUUCCUCUUACUAUAGGACACUUACUUAGUCAACGCUUAGAUCCGGUUUUACCCAAACUUUCCCUACUUGUCUGACUAUUGUUGAGCAGUUUUUGGAUAUAAAACAGAACUUCCCAAAAGCACCAGAGGUUGUCGAGGCAUCCGUUGUUGAGCAAACAAGCAUGCCUAGCCAAGUUGAAAGUCCAAUUUCCAAUGCCAAUGCCCGACAACGUAUGUUUACCAUUUCUAGAGUUGAUCAAAUAUAUAGUAAGUGCAUACCUCAUUCCUGUGGCGAGCCACAAAUCCGUAAUGGGUGUUGAGACAUAAUGUAUGACUGUGCCUAAGUUAUUUAUGUAGGCAUUCACGUUAAACAACUACAAAUGAUAUGAUUUUCCAGCUGGAAAUCCUGUUACCGUGGUUUCGAGAGACCUUCAUUUUAUUCAAUGUAAUUAUUCGAAUUAUUUGACAAGCUACUUGAUGAAGAAGAAAGAAAAAAAAA